AGUGGCGAACGGGUGAGUAACACGUAGGUAACCUGCCCUUAAGACGAGGAUAACCGUUGGAAACGAUGGCUAAGACUGGAUAGGAAUAAUUAAGGCAUCUUAAUUAUUUUAAAAGACCUAGCAAUAGGUAUGCUUAAGGAGGGGCCUGCGGCGCAUUAGCUAGUUGGUGAGGUGAAGGCUCACCAAGGCGAUGAUGCGUAGCCGGACUGAGAGGUUGAACGGCCACAUUGGGACUGAGAGACGGCCCAAACUCCUACGGGAGGCAGCAGUAGGGAAUUUUCGGCAAUGGGGGAAACCCUGACCGAGCAACGCCGCGUGAAUGACGAAGUACUUCGGUAUGUAAAGUUCUUUUAUUAGGGAAGAAUGGCUCGUGGAAAAGCGAGAGUGACGGUACCUAAUGAAUAAGCCCCGGCUAACUAUGUGCCAGCAGCCGCGGUAAUACAUAGGGGGCAAGCGUUAUCCGGAAUUAUUGGGCGUAAAGGGUGCGUAGGCGGCUAUUUAAGUCUUUGGUGUAAGUGCAGUGCUCAACGCUGUGAUGCUAAAGAAACUGGAUAGCUUGAGUGAGGUAGAGGCAAGUGGAAUUCCAUGUGUAGCGGUAAAAUGCGUAAAUAUAUGGAGGAACACCAGUGGCGAAGGCGGCUUGCUGGGCCUUAACUGACGCUGAGGCACGAAAGCGUGGGGAGCAAACAGGAUUAGAUACCCUGGUAGUCCACGCCGUAAACGAUGAGUACUAAGUGU
rnacentral:rRNA from 1 species